rnacentral:rRNA from 2 species
UUAAUUUGAGAGUUUGAUCCUGGCUCAGGACGAACGCUGGCGGCGUGCCUAAUACAUGCAAGUCGAACGAACUCUGGUAUUGAUUGGUGCUUGCAUCAUGAUUUACAUUUGAGUGAGUGGCGAACUGGUGAGUAACACGUGGGAAACCUGCCCAGAAGAGGGGGAUAACACCUGGAAACAGAUGCUAAUACCGCAUAACAACUUGGACCGCAUGGUCCGAGUUUGAAAGAUGGCUUCGGCUAUCACUUUUGGAUGGUCCCGCGGCGUAUUAGCUAGAUGGUGAGGUAACGGCUCACCAUGGCAAUGAUACGUAGCCGACCUGAGAGGGUAAUCGGCCACAUUGGGACUGAGACACGGCCCAAACUCCUACGGGAGGCAGCAGUAGGGAAUCUUCCACAAUGGACGAAAGUCUGAUGGAGCAACGCCGCGUGAGUGAAGAAGGGUUUCGGCUCGUAAAACUCUGUUGUUAAAGAAGAACAUAUCUGAGAGUAACUGUUCAGGUAUUGACGGUAUUUAACCAGAAAGCCACGGCUAACUACGUGCCAGCAGCCGCGGUAAUACGUAGGUGGCAAGCGUUGUCCGGAUUUAUUGGGCGUAAAGCGAGCGCAGGCGGUUUUUUAAGUCUGAUGUGAAAGCCUUCGGCUCAACCGAAGAAGUGCAUCGGAAACUGGGAAACUUGAGUGCAGAAGAGGACAGUGGAACUCCAUGUGUAGCGGUGAAAUGCGUAGAUAUAUGGAAGAACACCAGUGGCGAAGGCGGCUGUCUGGUCUGUAACUGACGCUGAGGCUCGAAAGUAUGGGUAGCAAACAGGAUUAGAUACCCUGGUAGUCCAUACCGUAAACGAUGAAUGCUAAGUGUUGGAGGGUUUCCGCCCUUCAGUGCUGCAGCUAACGCAUUAAGCAUUCCGCCUGGGGAGUACGGCCGCAAGGCUGAAACUCAAAGGAAUUGACGGGGGCCCGCACAAGCGGUGGAGCAUGUGGUUUAAUUCGAAGCUACGCGAAGAACCUUACCAGGUCUUGACAUACUAUGCAAAUCUAAGAGAUUAGACGUUCCCUUCGGGGACAUGGAUACAGGUGGUGCAUGGUUGUCGUCAGCUCGUGUCGUGAGAUGUUGGGUUAAGUCCCGCAACGAGCGCAACCCUUAUUAUCAGUUGCCAGCAUUAAGUUGGGCACUCUGGUGAGACUGCCGGUGACAAACCGGAGGAAGGUGGGGAUGACGUCAAAUCAUCAUGCCCCUUAUGACCUGGGCUACACACGUGCUACAAUGGAUGGUACAACGAGUUGCGAACUCGCGAGAGUAAGCUAAUCUCUUAAAGCCAUUCUCAGUUCGGAUUGUAGGCUGCAACUCGCCUACAUGAAGUCGGAAUCGCUAGUAAUCGCGGAUCAGCAUGCCGCGGUGAAUACGUUCCCGGGCCUUGUACACACCGCCCGUCACACCAUGAGAGUUUGUAACACCCAAAGUCGGUGGGGUAACCUUUUAGGAACCAGCCGCCUAAGGUGGGACAGAUGAUUAGGGUGAAGUCGUAACAAGGUAGCCGUAGGAGAACCUGCGGCUGGAUCACCUCCUUUCUAAGGAA